UUCCUCUUUUUCUUUUCUUCUUUCUUUUUCUCUCCUCUCUUUCGGUGGACAGCAGGGCCUCCUUCCCAUUUUCUUUCCUUUUUCUUUCCUUCCUUCUCCCCUGCCGCACACAGCAGCUCCUUCUCUGCUCCAGCACCCGAUUCCCUCUUUCUUUUUCCUUCUCUUCCAUUUUCUUCCUCUCUUCAUCUCUGUCACGCCCACGCCCAUGAGAGAGGCCGAAAUGCUGAAAUGCCGAGAGAGAAAGAAUGGAUCGUGAGGGAGAGGUUUUAAAAUGGAUGCUGUCCUGCCAUGGGUAGAAGAAGGGAAGAUGAGGUUUUUUGGCCAUGGACGUCCGGUGAGGAUCAUGUUCGGAUUGGAGACUUUAAUUGGUUCUCCAAUGUAGAGUCCAAGUGACUAGAGUCCAAGGAGUGUUCGGGUUGGAGUCCAAUGCAGCCAAGAUGAUGUUUCUUUGGCUGCAGGUACUACGGUAUAGUCCAUGGGUCGAUAGCAGUGUGCUUGGGAUAUUAUGACUGAAGCUCACCGCGACGGUUGUAAUUGUCGGACCACGGGUUGUCCACUGUUUUAUAGGUUUGGUAUAGCUUGUGACGUUUGUGUCACAUAUUCUUUGUAAAGCCAUAGUUGUUUUGUAAAUAUUGUGUUAAUAAGACUCAUACAGGUAGAUGUUAAAUGGCUCUUUGUUGUAAUUAAUUUGUGAUAGAUGUAUAAGUUGUAAUUUCUGCUAUUCAGAUUUAUGUUUUCCGCUGCAUA